GGUGAAAUUCGUAGAUAUUAGAAAGAAUACCAAUUGCGAAGGCAGCUUUCUGGAUCAUUACUGACGCUGAGGAACGAAAGCAUGGGUAGCGAAGAGGAUUAGAUACCCUCGUAGUCCAUGCCGUAAACGAUGUGUGUUAGACGUUGGAAAUUUAUUUUCAGUGUCGCAGCGAAAGCAUUAAACACACCGCCUGGGGAGUACGACCGCAAGGUUAAAACUCAAAUGAAUUGACGGGGACCCGCACAAGUAGUGGAGCAUGUGGUUUAAUUCGAAGAUACGCGCAGAACCUUACCAACACUUGACAUGUUCGUCGCGACUUUAAGAGAUUAAAGUUUUCGGUUCGGCCGGACGAAACACAGGUGCUGCAUGGCUGUCGUCAGCUCGUGUCGUGAGAUGUUGGGUUAAGUCCCGCAACGAGCGCAACCCUCACUUUUAGUUGCCAUCAUUAAGUUGGGCACUCUGAAAGAACUGCCAGUGAUAAGCUGGAGGAAGGUGGGGAUGACGUCAAGUCCUCAUGGCCCUUACGUGUUGGGCUACACACGUGCUACAAUGGCAUUUACAAUAGGAAGCAAGAUGGCGACAUCAAGCAAAUCCUAAAAAGAUGCCUCAGUUCGGAUUGUACUCUGCAACUCGAGUACAUGAAGCUGGAAUUACUAGUAAUCGCGGAUCAGCGCGCCGCGGUGAAUACGCUCCCG
rnacentral:rRNA from 1 species